rnacentral:misc_RNA from 1 species
GAGCGGAUUCGACGACGUGGGACGGGGCUCUGACAUUGACAGCGGAAGCGGCGGGGAAGGGGGGCGAGCGGUGAGGCUUGGAAGAUUCGAGGAUCGGAUCGGUGGUGGGUCGAGUGCGGAUCGGGCAGAGGGGACAACAAGGUGGUCAGGUGGGAGGAUAGAGAGUGGUGGUGGGUAAAAGUGGUGCAGCAGAGGAGGGGAGUGGCCGAGGAGGCAAGGCCUGAGGAUCGUGCGGAGCCCGGGAAGGGCUCCUUAGGAGGGAGCGAGACUGGCGAGCGCAAUGUGGCAAAGCGGCGGCAUGGGCGCCCAUGCGGCCAACAAUCCAUGGAUGAAAUUAAUGGGCAUUGUCCACAAGGAGAGAAGGCAUCACGAUUCGGGCUCUGCCGCUGCCGCCGCUUCCGGUGUUCAGGGCUCUGCGACCACUGGCAGCAACGACCGGACCCUCAAUCAAUCGCUGCCGAAACUCAGCAGCCAGGACGAGGAUGGGCCGAACCCACAUACCCAAUACACAGGCGUCACGCAGUUCGAGCCCAUACCGCACGAUCAUGAUUUUUGCGAAAGGGUCGUCAUUAACGUGAGCGGGCUACGGUUUGAGACGCAGCUGCGUACGCUGAAUCAAUUUCCGGACACGCUCCUUGGCGAUCCGCAUAGGCGUAUCCGAUACUUCGAUCCGCUUCGCAACGAGUACUUCUUCGAUCGGAAUCGGCCCUCCUUCGACGCGAUACUUUACUAUUACCAGAGCGGUGGCAGGCUCCGUCGCCCGGUCAACGUUCCUCUCGAUGUCUUCUCCGAGGAGAUCAAGUUCUACGAGCUGGGCGAGCUGGCCACCAACAAAUUCAGGGAGGACGAGGGGUUCAUCAAGGAGGAGGAGAAGCCGCUGCCGUCGCACGAGUUGCAGAGGAAGGUCUGGCUGCUGUUCGAGUACCCGGAGAGCUCGCAAGGCGCCCGGGUAGUGGCCAUAAUAUCCGUGAUCGUGAUCCUCCUCUCGAUCGUGAUAUUCUGCCUGGAGACCCUGCCCGAGUUCAAACACUACAAGGUCUUCAACACGACCACGAACGGCACGAAGAUCGAGGAGGACGAAGUGCCGGAUAUCACGGACCCGUUCUUCCUAAUAGAGACUAUUUGUAUCAUCUGGUUCACGUUCGAGUUAUCGGUGCGCUUCCUCGCCUGUCCAAAUAAACUGAACUUCUUCCGUGACGUAAUGAACUUCAUCGACAUCAUCGCGAUCAUUCCUUACUUCAUCACCCUCGGCACAGUGAUGGCCGAGGAGGAGGAGACGCUUGACCUACCAAAGGCGCCGGUAAGCCCGCAGGACAAGAGCACGAACCAGGCGAUGUCCCUGGCGAUACUCAGGGUCAUCAGGCUCGUCAGGGUGUUCCGGAUAUUCAAGCUGUCCAGGCAUAGUAAAGGCCUUCAGAUCCUCGGCCGUACCCUCAAGGCCUCCAUGAGGGAGCUCGGCUUACUCAUCUUUUUCCUAUUCAUCGGUGUGGUGCUGUUCUCGUCGGCGGUAUACUUCGCGGAGGCGGGCACGCAAGACAGCUUCUUCAAAUCGAUACCGGACGCGUUCUGGUGGGCGGUGGUCACGAUGACGACCGUGGGCUACGGGGACAUGAGGUGUGGUGCUAUUCUCAUCGGCGGUAUACUUCGCGGAGGCCGGCUCCGAGAAUUCGUUCUUCAAGUCCAUUCCGGACGCGUUCUGGUGGGCCGUUGUCACGAUGACGACCGUGGGCUAUGGUGACAUGACGCCCGUGGGAGUCUGGGGGAAGAUCGUGGGCUCUUUGUGCGCGAUCGCCGGUGUGUUGACGAUCGCCCUGCCUGUGCCCGUCAUUGUCUCCAACUUCAACUACUUCUAUCAUCGUGAGACUGACCAGGAAGAGAUGCAGUCGCAGAACUUCAAUCACGUGACCAGCUGCCCGUAUCUUCCUGGUCAACACUUGAAGAAGAGCUCGAUGUCAGAAUCGUCGUCGGAGAUAAUGGAGCUGGAAGAGGGCAUAUUGCUCACUCAUCCCGAGAUUACGAAGAAGCCCAACUGCAACCCUCGCCAUAAUAACAAUAUUAAUCCAGCCUGUAUGAGCAUCGAGACUGACGUCUGACUACUAG